rnacentral:lncRNA from 1 species
ACCUGGCAGGGGCAGUUCAAGUGGCCCGGGAAAUCAGCGAUUUGUAGGGUCAAGGGCUGGUGCUUUAAAAGAGAGGCGGAGGGGAGAGAGGGAUUUCCCGGUCUCUGCUGCACUCUGUCUAUCCGCUCGGUUACUCCUUUUCCUGGCCCGCGCGAACCCGCUGUGCCGCAGAGGCGGCCAUGUACCUUUAAGGCCCCGCUGCGCCUGCGCCUUGGGCUCUCCUGACGCGCCGAGCGGGACCCUGAGGAUCCAGCUGGCCGCAGGCUAUGGGCUGGGCGGCGGUUGAGACAGCGGCGAUAUUGGGAGGGGUAGGUGAGCGUCGCGAGGCAGCGUGAGCUUCUGAGUGAACGCGGUGCUUUUGGGAACGCGGGACGGGCGACCUGUGGCGCCAGGAGCGGGCCGAGGCGCGGCGGCGCGGCUGCCGUCUGGAUGGGAAGUUACGGUUUACAGCGAAGUCCACCCAGCGUUUCCGAGGUGAAGGCGCCGCGCCAGGCCGGGCGGGCGGCUGGUGAUGGGCAAGCCGGGUGUACCAAGUCCAGGAUGCACAUGAGGAGCGUUUGUAGCCGUCACUGAAUCACCUCAUGACUAGCGGGGCAGGCCUCUAAUUCACCGCAGGAUUUCCGAUCUCACUCUGUUGCCCAGGCUGGAGUGCAGUGGCACAAUCACAGCUGACCACAACCUUGACCUCCCAAGGCUCAGGUGAUCCUCCUGCCUCAGCCCCCAAGUAGCUGGGACCUACAGGCAAUCUGAAAGCAAAUCCUGUUUAGAUGCAGGCGAAGGUUCCUGGUGACCCAGGCUCUCACCUUACCGUCCCUUACCGUCCUCCUGAGGGUGUCCUGGAGCUUCAGUGCUGUGUGUUCUUGGCCUCCAUGCUGGGGGUGCCACCAAUUCCCACUGUCCAGGGCUUCCAGUGGACUCUCCGAGGUACUGAUGUAGAAACUUCCCCAUUCGGUGCACCAAGAGCAACCUCACACGGUGUGGGCCAAAUGAAGAGCUGCCAGAUCCCACAGAUGGAGUUAUUUCUCUUUUCCUUGGGCUCGAAUGCAACGG